UAAGGAAUAUUGGUCAAUGGACGCAAGUCUGAACCAGCCAUGCCGCGUGAAGGAUGAAGGUCCUCUGGAUUGUAAACUUCUUUUAUCUGGGACGAAAACGGGAUUUUUAUCUCAAUUGACGGUACCAGAGGAAUAAGCACCGGCUAACUCCGUACCAGCAGCCGCGGUAAUACGGAGGGUGCGAGCGUUAUCCGGAUUUACUGGGUUUAAAGGGUGCGUAGGUGGGCUUAUAAGUCAGUGGUGAAAUCUCCGAGCUUAACUUGGAAACUGCCGUUGAUACUAUAGGUCUUGAAUAUUGUGGAGGUAAGCGGAAUAUGUCAUGUAGCGGUGAAAUGCUUAGAUAUGACAUAGAACACCAAUUGCGAAGGCAGCUUACUACACAAUCAUUGACGCUGAGGCACGAAAGCGUGGGGAUCAAACA
rnacentral:rRNA from 1 species